AUGUGGGGGAUAGUCUUCAUCAUCCUUUCCUCACUGGGACAAUGCUCUAAUAAUGAAGAUCAUCACACUUUUAUGGAUUUACAACUCAAGAAUUACAACUCAAAGCUAGAACAAAAUAUGACUGUAUAUGAAUGCCUCCGGCGGUGUACCGGGAUAUGCAAUGAAUCAAGAGUGACAUGUAUGAAAAUUAUGAAGGUGGACUUGCCACAAAUACGAUGUCAACUACAUGAUCAUGCAAAGAGCAAUAUGACAAUGAUGAAACGUGUCAUAAUAAACGGAACGGUGGAAAGUUGCAUGGCAAUAUAUCUCGGAAUGGCUAUGGAAAUGCCAUAUAGGUAG
rnacentral:rRNA from 1 species